UACGGGGGGAGCAAGCGUUGUUCGGAUUUACUGGGCGUAAAGGGCGCGUAGGCGGCGCAACAAGUCACUUGUGAAAUCUCCGGGCUUAACCCGGAGCGGUCAAGUGAUACUGUCGUGCUAGAGUGCGGAAGGGGCUACUGGAAUUCUCGGUGUAGCGGUGAAAUGCGUAGAUAUCGGGAGGAACACCAGUGGCGAAGGCGACUACCUGGCCUGUUCUUGACG
rnacentral:rRNA from 1 species